UCUGCAACUCGACUGCACGAAGUCGGAAUUGCUAGUAAUCGCGGAUCAGCAUGCCGCGGUGAAUACGUUCCCGGGCCUUGUACACACCGCCCGUCACACCAUGAGAGUCGGGAACACCCGAAGCCGGUAGUCUAACCUCGUGAGGACGCCGCCGAAGGUGGGCUUGAUAAUUGGGGUGAAGUCGUAACAAGGUAGC
rnacentral:rRNA from 1 species